rnacentral:misc_RNA from 1 species
CUGAGUUAAAAGUUCGUUAAUAAUAAUAUGACAUCAUAGCGAUGUCAUAAUUGAUUAUCAUUAAACUCACUACACAAUUGCUUUUUGUAAAUUCAGGAAUUAUACAACUAGUUAUAGAAUAUCUGAGAAAGGAACAACCCCUUUUCUUUUCCGUCUAAAACUAAAAUAUUAUCAUUAGUUACCUAAUCCUAUAAUUAAAUUGCAUCUAAAUACACAAGUUUAUAUACAAUAUGGCUUCUAAAAAUUGUAGUUUUAAAGCGUAUAUAUAUACACAUAUAUCAAGCUGGUGGCUGACAGAGUCGUCUGUGGAUGAGUGCUCUGGUCUGCCUCCAGAGUUUCUGCGCCUCAGAUUCAUCACAGGCCAGAGCUGAGCAGCUGCUUUCAUUACAGUCUGCAAAGUAUUUGCCACUUACACCUUCUGUCUCUGGACUCAAGGCAACAUAACAUGUGGUUGAUGCACCCUGCAGCAAGGGACAGUGUUUCAUGUACAAAGUGCUCAACUAACUUAAAGAAGGUCCACCUCCCUUCUCUAUGUUUGUGUGCGUGUGUGUGAAUCUUUUGGGCAAGGAAACCGACAAGUUAUUGUGGACAAACCUGAGAUGUUGAUUUUAGUAACUUGGACGCAAUGAAGUACAGGGAAUCUGUGAUAAAACCCUUAUGAGCUCUAAUUAUUCCUGUUUUGACAAUGCCUGGAUGCACUGCGUUGAUUGUUACUCUUGCAUUCCUUGCCUAAGCGAAGUAUUGUAUCACUCAUUCACGAACUUUGUUGUUAUAAAUGAGAAAUUGUUGCUCCAUUUGGAAGCCAAGAAAAGAAAAUAUGAGAAAGAGUUCAUGGUGAAAAGAAGAAAGAUGAAAAGGCAUAGAUGAUGACUUUCACCUUCAGCUGUCUAGCCAUUUCCUUGGCAUGUAAUAUAUUUGCCAAUUUGGAUUGAGCAUACGCACGUGUGCCAUUGUAACUGCAAAAAUGUAACUAAUUAUGUUAAAUAAAUCAAAUUCUCUUCUUUUUGUCACAAAUCAUUAAUUACUCUCAUAAUUAUGGUUUGGAUUUUUCUUACAAGUUGUUAAUAAGACACCGCAAAUGCAAGUGUCUCUUAUGAGUACCAAGAGGAAAUUUAAGAGGUAGGUAAAAGGGUUAGUCAAAUUGAUGAUGAUUUAUAUUUUAAAAAUAGUACAAUAUCACUAGAACUUGAUAAAAUUGGGUAAAAGGGGAGUACACAACCUACCUCUUUGGAUUUAGCAUUUGAUUGAAGCAAAAAGAAUCUCUCUUCACCCAACUGUGAAUUACAGAAGAAAGAUUUAUGAUUCUUCCCUGGAUGCCUGUCUCUGCUGCUGUUUCUAACAUUUUUUCUAAUAGCAAUUCUGUCAACAAAAAAUGUCCUGCAAAACCCCCCCAAAUCCAUGGUUAAUCUCAUGAAAUUUCAUUUUUUACUUAGGCAGCACCUAUGCAAGUGUGAAACUUCACAAUUCUCUAGGCUGGUUGGGACCAAAUGCCUGCAAUAACCAGGAGCUGAGAGGCUAGGCAGGCCAAAACUUUACAUCUUUAGCCAAUUUUAUUGAGCCCACCAUGGUCCAAGCAUCAUCGCAGCAUGACUUUGCUCAUUACUGGGGACUACUUUGCUUAAUUGCUUUACUGAUUUAUUUUUCUUCGUUUCUUUCAUUUCUUUUUUCCAAAUAAUCAUGAUUUAUGAAAAGAAGAAAUCCACAAAAUUAUUAUUCUAUGUAGAGAGACAGAGAAGCUUAAUAAGCCAUGUAAACUUUACCCAAGUAAUUUGUAGCGAAUGUCAUCUCAAUUUUGUCUUCAGAGAAUUCCAAAUUCUGAGAAAAUAUCCCAGCAUUGUUUAUGAGAAUAUUAAGGGGUAGUCCUAAAGCAAGAAAAUCAGAAGAAAAUCUCUUCACAGAAGCAAAGCAACUUAAAUCAGUCUCAAAUAUUAUAAUCUCCGCAUUUGGAAUCUCCUUCUGUAUACCUUCCUUCACUUCAGCUGCUUUUUUCAAGUCUCUUGCCGGAAUCACCAGUUUCACACCUCUCUUAGCCAAUACUCUAGCAGUUUCAACUCCAAUGCCUGAGGUAGCCCCAGUGAUGAUAGCAGUUAAAUUGGAAGGGACUAAGCAGGCGCAAUCUUGAGUGACUUGCUCAGCUGUUGAGUUUGAGCCAUAACCACUUGGGCCUGCAAUGCCUGCCAAGUACCUCAGUGUUUCCUUCAUGAGCAGUAUGCUGUUGCUUACAAUCUUGGACACCAAGAGAAGAACUUUAACCUUGAAAGUUGAGACCUAAAAUAUAUAUGUAUACACACACAUAUAUAGAGGACUUAUAUGUGCACCCAAUAAGGAACCCAAGAAUUUUAUAGUGAUGAAAGCCUUAUUUUAAGUGGGUGGCCAUUGACCAAUUAGCUCUAAUAUAUGCUAGAAAUGUCAUAGACUAUUACACCAGCAGUGAAAUGAUUGUUUG